UACGAAGGGGGCUAGCGUUGCUCGGAAUCACUGGGCGUAAAGCGCACGUAGGCGGAUCUUUAAGUCAGGGGUGAAAUCCCAAGGCUCAACCUUGGAACUGCCUUUGAUACUGGGGAUCUCGAGUCCGGAAGAGGUGAGUGGAACUGCGAGUGUAGAGGUGAAAUUCGUAGAUAUUCGCAAGAACACCAGUGGCGAAGGCGGCUCACUGGCCCGUUACCGACGCUCAGGCGCGACAGCGUGGGGAGCAAACAGG
rnacentral:rRNA from 1 species